AACGUAGGAGGCAAGCGUUAUCCGGAUUUACUGGGCGUAAAGCGCGUGCAGGUGGUUUGGUAAGUCGUGCGUGAAAGCUCCUCGCUCGACGAGGAGAGGCCGUGCGAGACUGCGAGACUAGAGUCAGAUAGAGGCAAGUGGAAUUCCGGGUGUAGUGGUGAAAUGCGUAGAGAUCCGGAGGAAUACCAGUGGCGAAGGCGGCUUGCUGGGUCUAGACUGACACUCAGACGCGAAAGCAUGGGGAGCGAACGGG
rnacentral:rRNA from 1 species